rnacentral:rRNA from 1 species
GUGAGGAAUUUUCCGCAAUGGGCGAAAGCCUGACGGAGCAAUGCCGCGUGAAGGAUGAAGGCCUAUGGGUUGUAAACUUCUUUUCUCAGAAAAGAAUUAUGACGGUAUCUGAGGAAUAAGCAUCGGCUAACUCUGUGCCAGCAGCCGCGGUAAGACAGAGGAUGCAAGCGUUAUCCGGCAUGAUUGGGCGUAAAGCGUCUGUAGGUUGUUUAAAAAGUAUUCUGUCAAAGAUUAGGGCUUAACCCUAGAUAGGCAGAAUAAACUUUUAAGCUAGAGUGUGGUAGAGGCAGAGGGAAUUCCCGGUGGAGCGGUGAAAUGCGUAGAUAUCGGGAGGAACACCAAAGGCGAAGGCACUCUGCUGGGCCAAUACUAACACUGAGAGACGAAAGCGAGGGGAGCAAAUGGGAUUAGAAACCCCGGUAGUCC